UACAGAGGCCCCGAGCGUUAAUCGGAAUCACUGGGCUUAAAGGGUGCGUAGGCGGGUCAGUAAGCGCUUUGUGAAAUCCCACAGCUCAACUGUGGAACUGCAGGGCGAACUGCUGAUCUUGAGGAAGCUAGAGGCUGGUAGAACGAUAGGUGGAGCGGUGGAAUGCGUAGAGAUCUAUCGGAAUGCCGAAAGUGAAGACAGCCAGCUGGGGCUUUCCUGACGCUAAAGCACGAAAGCGUGGGGAGCAAACCGG
rnacentral:rRNA from 1 species